GUUUCAUAGAGCCAAUCUUUGAAACUGGUACUUUCCCAUGUAUGCAUUGUAUGGAACUGUUAUCAAUGAUUGAUGGCACGAUGUUGUCCGCCCAUUGACGCAGCCAGUCCAUAGAUAUCCAAAAGUAAAAUUCCUCAGGUGAUUGGACAGCAGCUUUAGAAAGGAUUGAACGUACCUCCAGCCUCCGUUCCGUGAGGCAGUUCACCUCAGACUCCUUCUUCAUUUUGUAUUGCUCACAGGAGUCGACAUAUGAGUCAUUCAGUUUUUCUACCUCCUCAUAGAGGUGGGGUGGAAGAUGACUCUCAACUUCCGAAGAUGUACAAGCCUCUUUUUCCGCUAUAUAACCACUAGAGUCAAUUGGCAUUUUAUCACAAUUCUUUGGACGU
rnacentral:misc_RNA from 1 species